GGUGGUAGAGCUCAGUGGUAGAGCGCUUGCCUUGCAUGCAUGAGACCCUGGGUUCAAUUCCUCAGCACCA
rnacentral:tRNA from 1 species